rnacentral:rRNA from 1 species
UAACGCCUAUUAGCUAGCCCCAUCAACUAAACUUAACAAACAAACAUAAAUAAACCCAAAAACACUAGACCAAUCCAAACAAAACAUUUUUCCCCCUUAGUAUGGGCGACAGAAAAGGAUCCAAGGGCGCAAUAGAAUAAGUACCGCAAGGGAAAGCUGAAAGAGAAAUGAAAUAAACCAGUAAAGCCUAAAAAAGCAGAGAUUUUUCCUCGUACCUUUUGCCAUCAUGA